CCCCUUAUAUGCUGGGCUACACACGUGCUACAAUGGGUAGAACAGAGAGUCGCAAAGCUGUGAAGUGGAGCUAAUCUCAGAAAACUAUUCUUAGUUCGGAUUGUACUCUGCAACUCGAGUACAUGAAGUUGGAAUCGCUAGUAAUCGCGAAUCAGCAAUGUCGCGGUGAAUACGUUCUCGGGUCUUGUACACACCGCCCGUCACACCACGAGAGUUGGUUGCACCUGAAGUAGCAGGCCUAACCGUAAGGAGGGAUGCUCCGAGGGUGUGAUUAGCGAUUGGGGUGAAGUCGUAACAAGGUAUCCGUACGGGAACGUGCGGAUGGAUCACCUCCUUUCUAAGGAGUAUAAGUCUUUCUCUAUUCUAUUGGUAAUGUUCUUUACAUUACUUCUGAACAUUGGAAACUAUAUAGUAGAACAAACAAGAAAAAAAUUAACUCUAACAAUUUCUUAGAGUUAGCUGUCAAAAAAUAGGUUAAAAUAAUUAAGGGCACACAAAGGAUGCCUAGGUAGUAAGAGCCGAUGAAGGACGUGGUAAGCUGCGAUAAGCCUAG
rnacentral:sRNA from 1 species